GAUGAACGCUGGCGGCGUGCCUAAUACAUGCAAGUCGAGCGAAUGGAUUAAGAGCUUGCUCUUAUGAAGUUAGCGGCGGACGGGUGAGUAACACGUGGGUAACCUGCCCAUAAGACUGGGAUAACUCCGGGAAACCGGGGCUAAUACCGGAUAACAUUUUGAACAGCAUGGUUCGAAAUUGAAAGGCGGCUUCGGCUGUCACUUAUGAAUGGACCCGCGUCGCAUUAGCUAGUUGGUGAGGUAACGGCUCACCAAGGCAACGAUGCGUAGCCGACCUGAGAGGGUGAUCGGCCACACUGGGACUGAGACACGGCCCAGACUCCUACGGGAGGCAGCAGUAGGGAAUCUUCCGCAAUGGACGAAAGUCUGACGGAGCAACGCCGCGUGAGUGAUGAAGGCUUUCGGGUCGUAAAACUCUGUUGUUAGGGAAGAACAAGUGCUAGUUGAAUAAGCUGGCACCUUGGCGGUACCUAACCAGAAAGCCACGGCUAACUACGUGCCAGCCGCCGCCGUAA
rnacentral:rRNA from 1 species